CCUACGGGAGGCAGCAGUAGGGAAUAUUGCUCAAUGGGGGAAAGCCUGAAGCAGCAACGCCGCGUGGGGGUUGAAGGUUUUCGGAUUGUAAAACCCUUUUGUUAGAGAAGAUAAUGACGGUAUCUAACGAAUAACCACCGGCUAACUCCGUGCCAGCAACCCCGGUAAUACGGAGGGUGCAAGCGUUACUCGGAAUCACUGGGCGUAAAGAGCGCGUAGGCGGGAUAGCAAGUCAGAUGUGAAAUCCUAUGGCUUAACCAUAGAAGUGCAUUUGAAACUGGUAUUCUAGAGUAUGGGAGAGGUAGGUGGAAUUCUUGGUGUAGGGGUAAAAUCCGUAGAGAUCAAGAGGAAUACUCAUUGCGAAGGCGACCUGCUAGAACAUAACUGACGCUGAUGCGCGAAAGCGUGGGGAGCAAACAGGAUUAGAUACCCGAGUAGUC
rnacentral:rRNA from 1 species